UACGGAGGGUGCAAGCGUUAUCCGGAUUCACUGGGUUUAAAGGGUGCGUAGGUGGGUUGGUAAGUCCGUGGUGAAAUCUCCGAGCUUAACUCGGAAACUGCCGUGGAUACUAUCAAUCUUGAAUACUGUGGAGGUAAGCGGAAUAUGUCAUGUAGCGGUGAAAUGCUUAGAUAUGACAUAGAACACCGAUAGCGGAGGCAGCUUG
rnacentral:rRNA from 1 species